GAUUUAAACAAAAUUUGUGGGUUGUUUUGAUUAUAAAGACACAUUUAGAUGUUUUGGUUUUUUUGGUUUGAUUUUUAUGUGGUUGUUUUGGAGUUUACCUUUUGUAUAAGGCAGUGAGGAUUGGUAUGUGAAUUAGUUUGAUCGAUUGGAACUUAUUUAGCUUUAUUUGUGGAGAGUUGAAUUUUAUUAAGCUUAUUAUGAUAUGUAUUGGAGUUUUUUAUCUAUAUCUAUUUUUUUUCAUUUAAUGAUGAUUUAGUUUAUUUAAGGGCUGAUGGUUAAGCUUCAGUUAUUACUUUUUCUUUUUCUUGUUUUAAUUUUUUUUUGAAUUGAUUUGUUUUGUUGUAAAAUAUUAGUUUUGUGAUUUGAUGGUUUUUUGGUGUUUAGGUUAUUUUGUUGAUUUUUUUAAUGAUCUUUCUAUUAGUAUUAUUUGAUGGUUUUUGGGGAUUUUGAUGUUUGAUUUUUUUAGGUUAAGAAUUAUUACUAGGGAUUUUUUAAGCUGUUUAACAAAAUCUAAUUUUAUAUUUGUUAUGAAAGAUUUCUGCUCAGUGAUUUAUUAAAUAGCCGCGGUAUUUUGACUGUGCUAAGGUAGCGAAGUCAUUUGUUUUUUUAUUGGAAACUUGUAUGAGGGGAUUUUUUGAGAAAUUUUUAUUAAUUUUUAUAGUUUUGAAUUUGAUUUUUUAGUGAAAAGGCUAAAGUGUUCUUAAAGACGAGAAGACCCUAAAAUCUUUAUUUUACAGAAGGAAUAGUAAAUUUUACUUGGGGGAAGGUUGUAAUAUAAUUUAUAAAAAUUUGUUAUUUUGAACUUUUUGAAGGUUGAUGGGAUAGAUACUUUGGGGAUAACAGGAUAAUGUGAUUUUAAAGUUCUUAUUUGAGAUUGAGUUUGUUACCUCGAUGUUGGUUUUUGGAGUUUGCUAGGGGUAGGUUUUUAGUUAAAUAAUCUGUUCGAUUAUUAAAACUGAACAUGAACUGAGUUCAAAUCGGUGUGAGCCAAAUUGGAUUUUAUCUUAAAAUGAUUGUAUAGUAUCUAGUACGAAAGGAUUGAUGCUUUUAAAUUUUCUGAGGCGUUUAUGAGUUGGGUUAGGAA
rnacentral:rRNA from 1 species